CGAAGGGGGCAAAUGUUGUUCGGAAUCACUGGGCGUAAAGGGAGCGUAGGCGGAUGUUUAAGUCGGGAGUUUAAAACCGGGGCCCAACCCCGGAGCGGCUCCCGAAACUGGGCAUCUUGAAUAGGUCAGAGGCUGGUGGAAUUGGAGGUGUAGCGGUGGAAUGCGUAGAGAUCUCCAAGAACACCUAUUGCGAAGGCAGCCAGCUGGGACCAUAUUGACGCUGAGGCUCGAAAGCAUGGGGAGCAAACAGGAUUAGAUACCCUGGUAGUCCAUGCCGUAAACGAUGAACACUAGGUUUUGGGCUCGUCAACGGUCCAGAGCCGCAGCUAACGCGUUAAGUGUUCCGCCUGGGGAAUACGGUCGCAAGACUG
rnacentral:rRNA from 1 species